rnacentral:pre_miRNA from 1 species
GCACUUGAUGAGGAACUGGUAAUCUGCAUCCUGAGGUUUAAAAAUACAUAGGCACAUGCAAAUGUGUGUAUUAUAGUUUUUAAUCCUCGGGAUACAGAUUACCUCUUCCUUUUACUGAA